rnacentral:sRNA from 1 species
CCAUUCCCUGAGGACACAGCUCCGAGAACGGGAUGUCCGCAUCCGACACCUGGAGGUGGGUGUCCUCGUCCCUUUACGCUGCCUCCAGCGUAUCUAGGCCCCUGACACUUGCCUCCUUGACAGAUGGACUUUGAGAAAAGCCGAAGUCAGCGGGAGCAGGAAGAAAAGCUGCUCAUCAGUGCCUGGUAUAAUAUGGGCAUGGCCUUGCAGCAGCGAGCCGGGGAGGAGCGGGCGCCUGCCCAUGCCCAGUCAUUCCUGGCACAG